UGCUGGCAUGCCCCCAAGUUCAGGUUUAUAUUCUCUGAGUCAGCCUACCUGGUAAGUGUACCUGCUACCCACCAGUUCCGGGAGGCUGGUUCUGGAAUUGCUUACAGUCAGAUGGAGGGGAAAUAUCUCUGAGGAAACCAUAGCAGUUGAACACAAUCACAAAUGGAAUAGGAGACCUUGCUGCAGCAUUGCUAUGAGACAAAGGAGACUUCCUCUUGCAAAUGGAAGACAAAGCUGCAGUCCUUCUACAGCCCUGGUAUGGGAUAUCAACACCAGCCUGUGCUUCUCACAUGAGGAAGGCAUGGGUUGACUAAUCACUUCAAAAGCUUAAUGCAGAAGAACCUUUCUGGGACUUCUAGAGGAGGAACUGGACCUGGUUAUUAAUCCCCAGAGACCAACUGUAUCAAAAACAUGGAGUGCUUGCAGUUCUGCAGUGGAAACAGGAUUCAUGUUUCUGGUAAGCUGUCCCUCAAGACACUGCCAACGAUCAACAAGCUGGAAAGAAGACUGAAAAAGGCAGUAGUAGCCUAAAAGUGGAUGUUUCCUGAGGAUGAGAAGCUGAAAGAUAGGGUUGCCUAGGAAGGCUUUAACUCUAUUUCCAGGCAUGCAGUGGCCUGGAAACUCUCAAGAAGGGACUUGCUGUGAUGUGGGGUCUUUAAACAGGGAGAGGUGAAGUCUGUUAUAUAGGCAAGUACUGCAAACAAAUAUACUUGGUGUAAUACAGAGCUUGGUGUACAUUUGUACCUUCAUCUGUGUGAGCAUAGGAGGCUCAGCUUCAAGGAUCAAAGCUAGAGUCAAGCCUUGAAGCUGACUUGCUGGUAAUCCUUAAUCAAUUUCUGGUGGGUAUCAGGAGGAAAUGCUGCUCACAGUAACUGAGCUGUUGUGUGAUAGCUGAGAGCUAGAAAGUUUCGUCUGUCCUACUGCUUGAUUCCU
rnacentral:lncRNA from 1 species